rnacentral:rRNA from 1 species
CUACGUAGGGUGCGAGCGUUAAUCGGAAUUACUGGGCGUAAAGGGUGCGCAGGCGGUUUUAUAAGCCAGAUGUGAAAUCCCCGGGCUCAACCUGGGAACUGCAUUUGGGACUGUAAGACUGGAGUACGGCAGAGGGGGGUAGAAUUCCACGUGUAGCAGUGAAAUGCGUAGAUAUGUGGAGGAAUACCGAUGGCGAAGGCAGCCCCCUGGGUCGAUACUGACGCUCAGGCACGAAAGCGUGGGGAGCAAACAGGAUUAGAAACCCUUGUAGUCC